GGGUUGUGAGGUUAAGCGACUAAGCGUACACGGUGGAUGCCCUGGCAGUCAGAGGCGAUGAAGGACGUGCUAAUCUGCGAUAAGCGUCGGUAAGGUGAUAUGAACCGUUAUAACCGGCGAUUUCCGAAUGGGGAAACCCAGUGUGUUUCGACACACUAUCAUUAACUGAAUCCAUAGGUUAAUGAGGCGAACCGGGGGAACUGAAACAUCUAAGUACCCCGAGGAAAAGAAAUCAACCGAGAUUCCCCCAGUAGCGGCGAGCGAACGGGGAGCAGCCCAGAGCCUGAAUCAGUAUGUGUGUUAGUGGAAGCGUCUGGAAAGGCGCGCGAUACAGGGUGACAGCCCCGUACACAAAAAUGCACAUAUUGUGAGCUCGAUGAGUAGGGCGGGACACGUGGUAUCCUGUCUGAAUAUGGGGGACCAUCCUCCAAGGCUAAAUACUCCUGACUGACCGAUAGUGAACCAGUACCGUGAGGGAAAGGCGAAAAGAACCCCGGCGAGGGGAGUGAAAAAGAACCUGAAACCGUGUACGUACAAGCAGUGGGAGCACGCUUAGGCGUGUGACUGCGUACCUUUUGUAUAAUGGGUCAGCGACUUAUAUUCUGUAGCAAGGUUAACCGAAUAGGGGAGCCGAAGGGAAACCGAGUCUUAACUGGGCGUUAAGUUGCAGGGUAUAGACCCGAAACCCGGUGAUCUAGCCAUGGGCAGGUUGAAGGUUGGGUAACACUAACUGGAGGACCGAACCGACUAAUGUUGAAAAAUUAGCGGAUGACUUGUGGCUGGGGGUGAAAGGCCAAUCAAACCGGGAGAUAGCUGGUUCUCCCCGAAAGCUAUUUAGGUAGCGCCUCGUGAAUUCAUCUCCGGGGGUAGAGCACUGUUUCGGCAAGGGGGUCAUCCCGACUUACCAACCCGAUGCAAACUGCGAAUACCGGAGAAUGUUAUCACGGGAGACACACGGCGGGUGCUAACGUCCGUCGUGAAGAGGGAAACAACCCAGACCGCCAGCUAAGGUCCCAAAGUCAUGGUUAAGUGGGAAACGAUGUGGGAAGGCCCAGACAGCCAGGAUGUUGGCUUAGAAGCAGCCAUCAUUUAAAGAAAGCGUAAUAGCUCACUGGUCGAGUCGGCCUGCGCGGAAGAUGUAACGGGGCUAAACCAUGCACCGAAGCUGCGGCAGCGACACUAUGUGUUGUUGGGUAGGGGAGCGUUCUGUAAGCCUGUGAAGGUGUGCUGUGAGGCAUGCUGGAGGUAUCAGAAGUGCGAAUGCUGACAUAAGUAACGAUAAAGCGGGUGAAAAGCCCGCUCGCCGGAAGACCAAGGGUUCCUGUCCAACGUUAAUCGGGGCAGGGUGAGUCGACCCCUAAGGCGAGGCCGAAAGGCGUAGUCGAUGGGAAACAGGUUAAUAUUCCUGUACUUGGUGUUACUGCGAAGGGGGACGGAGAAGGCUAUGUUGGCCGGGCGACGGUUGUCCCGGUUUAAGCGUGUAGGCUGGUUUUCCAGGCAAAUCCGGAAAAUCAAGGCUGAGGCGUGAUGACGAGGCACUACGGUGCUGAAGCAACAAAUGCCCUGCUUCCAGGAAAAGCCUCUAAGCAUCAGGUAACAUCAAAUCGUACCCCAAACCGACACAGGUGGUCAGGUAGAGAAUACCAAGGCGCUUGAGAGAACUCGGGUGAAGGAACUAGGCAAAAUGGUGCCGUAACUUCGGGAGAAGGCACGCUGAUAUGUAGGUGAAGUCCCUCGCGGAUGGAGCUGAAAUCAGUCGAAGAUACCAGCUGGCUGCAACUGUUUAUUAAAAACACAGCACUGUGCAAACACGAAAGUGGACGUAUACGGUGUGACGCCUGCCCGGUGCCGGAAGGUUAAUUGAUGGGGUUAGCCGCAAGGCGAAGCUCUUGAUCGAAGCCCCGGUAAACGGCGGCCGUAACUAUAACGGUCCUAAGGUAGCGAAAUUCCUUGUCGGGUAAGUUCCGACCUGCACGAAUGGCGUAAUGAUGGCCAGGCUGUCUCCACCCGAGACUCAGUGAAAUUGAACUCGCUGUGAAGAUGCAGUGUACCCGCGGCAAGACGGAAAGACCCCGUGAACCUUUACUAUAGCUUGACACUGAACAUUGAGCCUUGAUGUGUAGGAUAGGUGGGAGGCUUUGAAGUGUGGACGCCAGUCUGCAUGGAGCCGACCUUGAAAUACCACCCUUUAAUGUUUGAUGUUCUAACGUUGACCCGUAAUCCGGGUUGCGGACAGUGUCUGGUGGGUAGUUUGACUGGGGCGGUCUCCUCCUAAAGAGUAACGGAGGAGCACGAAGGUUGGCUAAUCCUGGUCGGACAUCAGGAGGUUAGUGCAAUGGCAUAAGCCAGCUUGACUGCGAGCGUGACGGCGCGAGCAGGUGCGAAAGCAGGUCAUAGUGAUCCGGUGGUUCUGAAUGGAAGGGCCAUCGCUCAACGGAUAAAAGGUACUCCGGGGAUAACAGGCUGAUACCGCCCAAGAGUUCAUAUCGACGGCGGUGUUUGGCACCUCGAUGUCGGCUCAUCACAUCCUGGGGCUGAAGUAGGUCCCAAGGGUAUGGCUGUUCGCCAUUUAAAGUGGUACGCGAGCUGGGUUUAGAACGUCGUGAGACAGUUCGGUCCCUAUCUGCCGUGGGCGCUGGAGAACUGAGGGGGCUGCUCCUAGUACGAGAGGACCGGAGUGGACGCAUCACUGGUGUUCGGGUUGUCAUGCCAAUGGCACUGCCCGGUAGCUAAAUGCGGAAGAGAUAAGUGCUGAAAGCAUCUAAGCACGAAACUUGCCCCGAGAUGAGUUCUCCCUGACUCCUUGAGAGUCCUGAAGGAACGUUGAAGACGACGACGUUGAUAGGCCGGGUGUGUAAGCGCAGCGAUGCGUUGAGCUAACCGGUACUAAUGAACCGUGAGGCUUAACCUUACAACGCCGAAGGUGUUU
rnacentral:rRNA from 1 species